GUGCCAGCCGCCGCGGUAAGACGAACUGUCCUAACGUUGUUCGGAAUCACUGGGCUUAAAGGGCGCGUAGGCGGUCCAUCAAGUCAGGGGUGAAAUCCUGCAGCUUAACUGUAGAAGUGCCUCUGAUACUGAUGGUCUGGAGGGAAAUAGGGGUGUGCGGAACUUCCAGUGGAGCGGUGAAAUGCGUUGAUAUUGGAAGGAACGCCGGAGGCGAAAGCGGCGCACUGGAUUUCUUCUGACGCUGAGGCGCGAAAGCCAGGGGAGCAAACGGGAUUAGAAACCCUAGUAGUCC
rnacentral:rRNA from 1 species